AGAACGAACGCUGGCGGCAUGCCUAAUACAUGCAAGUCGAACGAACUCUUCGGAGUUAGUGGCGCACGGGUGCGUAACGCGUGGGAAUCUGCCCCUUGGUUCGGAAUAACAGUUGGAAACGACUGCUAAUACCGGAUGAUGACGAAAGUCCAAAGAUUUAUCGCCAAGGGAUGAGCCCGCGUAGGAUUAGCUAGUUGGUGAGGUAAAGGCUCACCAAGGCAACGAUCCUUAGCUGGUCUGAGAGGAUGAUCAGCCACACUGGGACUGAGACACGGCCCAGACUCCUACGGGAGGCAGCAGUAGGGAAUAUUGGACAAUGGGCGAAAGCCUGAUCCAGCAAUGCCGCGUGAGUGAUGAAGGCCUUAGGUUGUAAAGCUUCUUUACCCGAGAUGAUAAUGACUAGUAUCGGAGAAUAAGCCCCGGACUAACUCCGUCGCCAGCACGCCGAC
rnacentral:rRNA from 1 species